rnacentral:rRNA from 1 species
AAGGGAUAACGUUGGGAAACUGACGCUAAUAUCUUAUAGGGAAUUGGUACUGGAAUGUUCUUUUCCUUAAAACCUUCGGGUGCCGUAAGAUGAGUUGGCGGCUGAUUAGAUUGUUGGUGAGGUAAAGGCUCACCAAGUCUUUGAUCAGUAGGGGGGAUGAGAGUCUUAGCCCCGAGAAGGGCACUGAGAUAAGGGCCCUAGUCCCAAGGGAUGCAGCAGUCGCGAAACCUUUACAAUGCACGAAAGUGUGAUAAGGGGAUUCCAAGUGCUCACAUCCGUGGGCUUUUGCCAAGUGUAAAUAUCUUGGCGAAUAAGUGGUGGGCAAGACCGGUGCCAGCCGCCGCGGUAACACCGGCGCCACAAGUGGCGAUCACAUUUAUUGGGUCUAAAGCGUCUGUAGCCGACUGGAACAGUUCCUUGUGAAAUUGUCAGGCUUAACUUGACAGCGGGCAAGGAAUACUACUCAGUUAGAGACCGGGAGAGGACAGGGGAAUUCCUUGGGAAGCGGUAAAAUGCUUUAAUCCUUGGAGGACCACCGAUGGCGAAGGCACCUGUCUAGAACGGGUCUGACGGUGAGAGACGAAAGCUAGGGGAGCGAUCUGGAUUAGAUACCCAAGUAGUCCUAGCUGUAAACGCUGCAAACUAUGUGUUGCAUGUUUUUAGUGAACAUGCAGUGCCGAAGCGAAGGCAUUAAGUUUGCCACCUGGGAAGUACGGCCGCAAGACUGAAACUUAAAGGAAUUGGCGGGGGA